AAAGAGUGUAUUUUUGCAUUGUUUGGGUUUAACGUUUGACUGUCCGUCUUAUUUAAAAAAGUUUUAUGAUUAGAAUUUUUAUUAUUACUAGAUGAUAAAACAUGAAUAAUAUUUUAUCUGUGACUAUUUUUAAAAAUAUAAAAAAAAUUCAAAUAAUACGAACAGUGAAACGCGAGACAUGAAAAUCUAUAAAUGCAAUUAAU
rfam:Oryza brachyantha chromosome 8, whole genome shotgun sequence.